rnacentral:rRNA from 1 species
UACGUAGGGGGCAAGCGUUGUCCGGAUUUAUUGGGCGUAAAGAGCGUGUAGGCGGCCAGGUAGGUCCGCUGUGAAAACUCGAAGCUCAACCUCGAGAUGUCGGCGGAAACCAUCUGGCUAGAGUCCGGAAGAGGAGAGUGGAAUUCCAGGUGUAGCGGUGAAAUGCUUAGAUAUCUGGAGGAACACCAGUGGCGAAGGCGGUGUUCUGGGCCUGUACUGACGCUGAUGCGCGAAAGCGUGGGGAGCGAACAGG